AUGUUAGUGUGGCACCUCUACAGACUAAUUGACUGACUGAAAGAUUGAAAGGAGUUAAAUUUUAAGGCCAAAAUAAUCAGGCCUGGUGAUAGAAGAAGAAUGCUCAUUAGAACACUGUGAAUGCUGUUAAUUCAGACAGUUCAAUAUAUUAUUAGAUAUUAGAUCGUCAAAAUUCUACAGACAUCUUUCUAUCUUGCGUCAAUGUUUCAGGGACUAAACAACUACUGUUUGGCUUGAAAUGACAAACCUAAGAUAGAAGUAUUAUGAGCAAUGGCAGCUGUUAACAUAGGUACAAGUUCAGCCUUUUGUAAGGUGUUUACCCGUACUUUUAUGUAAAUUAAUGAUUAGAGCAUUCUUGGCUCAUAUAUAUAAUGCUUAAAAUGUAAAGUCCUAGGAAGGCUAAAAAAAUAUGUUAACAUUUAAUUGUGCUAAUUGAGCAUGAUGUUCCUAUUAAAAUAUUCUUUAUGAUUUUUUCAGAUUCUACAGUUUAUCUCGAGUUUGAUGAGAAGGAACUACAUGGUAGACAUGAAUAGAAAAAGGCCUUGGAAAUGGCAGAGGUGACAGCUCGGAUCUCCCAGCUGGAGGUGGCCCGACAGAAGAAAGAGAGUGAGGCUGUGGAAUGGCAGCAGAAGGGAUGAGAUGCACAUGUAAUGUAUUGAAACUAAUCUGGUGGAGCAAAAGUCAUUGUUAUCUAGGAAAAAAUUGAAUUAUGACCUUCACCAUGUCAAUGAGGUAAGCCUAUCAAUUCAUUUUUGAGACUUGACUGCAUUUAUGUGGGCUAUUCAACAAAAACAUAAAAUGAUAUAUGCAACUGACACUGAGGAUAGUAUUAGGCCUGUAAUUAAAAAUAUUUGAAUUCUCACCUUGGCUUUUUCAGUGAUUCAGUGUAUAUGGCGUUUAUGUCUUAAUUUUA
rnacentral:lncRNA from 1 species